rnacentral:rRNA from 1 species
CCCUUAGAUGUUCUGGGCCGCACGCGUGCUACACUGAGUGGAUCAGCGGGUCAGGUUGCGCGAAAGCGUUUCCUAAUCUUUAAAUCCGCUCGUGAUGGGGAUUGACAGUUGCAAUUUUCUGUCAUGAACGAGGAAUACCUUGUAAGCGCGGGUCAUCAUCCCGCGCUGAAUACGUCCCUGCCCUUUGUACACACCGCCCGUCGCUCCUACCGAUUGAGUGGUCCGGUGAGGCUUUGGGAUCUGAGCGGAAAGAGCGUUUCGCUGUUUCUGCUCGGAAAACUCAGUCGAACCUUAUCAUUUAGAGGAAGGAGAAGUCGUAACA